CUCCCUGCCCCUGUCAGAUCUCUCCCCUUGUGACAGAACUAGAGAAAGGGUAGAGAGGGUUUUGCUAACAGUAGGCUCAGGGAGUCGGGGAAAAGCCACCACCUCGCAGCGCUUCAUAGAAUCCUCACCACCGUGGACAAGGUGGCGCUGUGACGAUGACAUUUUACAGGUCAGGAAGCCAGUCAGCAUCAACUUGCCUGAGGGCAUGUGGUAAAAGAAGGGUUGGACCAGGGUUUCGAUCCUCAGAGGAUGAAGCACAGCAUUUGGCUCAGGAAAGUUGGAAUGAAGAGACUUCGGAUGAGACACCCCAUGCCUUUGACAGCAAAGCUUCUGCUAAGCCCAGAAGCACCAAGAAUGCUCAGUCCAAACAGCCAGGUUCAGCUCCAUUUCCUCCUCCUCCUGGAAGCCUUCCUGGAAUUCCCAUCUACAGGGAAGGGAUUUCCACUUCCAUUAAACACCCACAUUUUUGCCACCUCUGGCAAAGUCAGGAUGCCUAGGGGGGAAAAAAGAACCCAUGGGUCUCUGUCCUGGUUGCAUGCUGGCAUCCAUGAGAGAAAAAAAAAAAAAUUUUUUUUUUGAUGGAAAAGGACCUAUGCCCAGGUCCAACAAUGGAACAAUUGAGUCCAUCUCUAGGCUGGAACCUGGAAUCAGCACAAAACAGCAGCCCAGACUGAGGACCCCAGCUGUCACGUCCUGUUCUCCCACCUGCCUGGUGCUCCAGGGCGAGCCCCAGCCUCCUGCAGUGCUGCCCUUCAGCACCCAGCCUAGGCCUCCCAGUGUGAGCAGAGGGCAGCAUCGUCGCCUCGUGAACUAAGCCAACCCCGGGUGGGAUAUGGAGCCCAUCUUGCUCUUCAUGUCAGGUAUACUGUGGUAAAUUCUCUCAAAUGACCACCCGUUGGAGUCUGGAUUGUUCUCCUGCCUGCCUCAUGGGAAAUGGAAUCUACCUAACCUCUGCCCACACUUUGGGGUUAACCUCAAGGUCUUCUCCCUCUGAUAUUUUUCUGGCUUUCUAAGCCAAGCAGCCAGCGAUGCCCUCUCCUGCUGAACUUUUAUAGCACUUGCUCUUUGUGGUCACUUGGACCCUGCCAAGGUGACACAGAACAAAUCACACGACCA